rnacentral:rRNA from 1 species
UACGUAGGGACCAAGCGUUGUUCGGAUUUACUGGGCGUAAAGGGCGCGUAGGCGGCGUGUUAAGUCAGCUGUGAAAUCUCCAAGCUUAACUUGGAACGGUCAGCUGAUACUGAUGUGCUAGAGUGCAGAAGGGGCAACCGGAAUUCUUGGUGUAGCGGUGAAAUGCGUAGAUAUCAAGAGGAACACCUGCGGCGAAGGCGGGUUGCUGGGCCGACACUGACGCUGAUGCGCGAAAGCCAGGGGAGCGAACGGG